CUGGAUUCUCUACAUCCUUUAAUCACAAUGUCAUAUAUGUUAAUAGAAUAGCAGUGUGUCAUAUGAAUCUCAAUUUUUUGAACAAGAAAAUGAAUUUGGGGAUUUGAAUGAACAAAGUGAAGAUAUUGCUGAAAAUUAUGACAAGCACCAAGAGUUAACCACCAAAACACAGGACUCUAAAGAUAUCUUUACCAAGCAAUCUAUCUCUAUUAUUACAGAAGAACCCAAACAACCAUGUCAACAUAGUCAAAGUCAUUUGUCACCCACUGGCCACUAUACUGGGCUAUUGUUACAGUUUGACUUUGCAUCAAAUGUAUCACGUCAGCAAUCCUUUGUUGUUCAUGAUUAUAAUGCAAACAAAAGAACAAUUAUGGUGAUGUCAAAUUUUAUUUCCAUAAUUUCAAUGUUGGGUAUAUACCCAACUAAAUGACAUUACUCAAUACGCUUUUUUUGGUGCUAUAAUCUGCAUGUAUUUUUUUCUUCAGCAUAAUUAAUUUGUAUUUGUACGUCGAUAUCCCCACCUAUUGCUUGAUGGCUAUGGUUGGAUAUUGUGAUGCUCAUGUGAUGCAAAUAGAAAGCAAUUUGUUGAUGCCCUACCUAAUAAUAUACAAUUAGAUCCUCAAAAAGAUAUACCAUAUCCUAGUUGCAUACACAUAUUAGCAAUGGUAAAAAUAUCUGGUUGUGUAUGAUAGAAAGUUUGGUAUUGAAGCCAAAGAUUUUAUUGAAAAAAAAUCCACAUCCAUGAUGCAGUCUGUUUUCAGUGAUCAUUCCUACCAUGAGAUGCAACCUGAAGAAGACUUGUUUAGUGCAGUGUGCAGGGAGGUUCAGUGGAUUGCUGUAAAACCAGUGAAUAGUCCAUGGGGGAUUUGUACUUA